rnacentral:rRNA from 1 species
GACGAACGCUGGCGGCGUGCCUAAUACAUGCAAGUCGAGCGAAGUUUUUCUGGUGCUUGCACUAGAAAAACUUAGCGGCGAACGGGUGAGUAACACGUAAAGAACCUGCCUCAUAGACUGGGACAACUAUUGGAAACGAUAGCUAAUACCGGAUAACAGUAUUUCUCGCAUGAGAGAUAUUUAAAAGUUGGUUAUGCUAACACUAUGAGAUGGCUUUGCGGUGCAUUAGCUAGUUGGUGGGGUAAAGGCCCACCAAGGCGACGAUGCAUAGCCGACCUGAGAGGGUGAUCGGCCACACUGGGACUGAGACACGGCCCAGACUCCUACGGGAGGCAGCAGUAGGGAAUCUUCCGCAAUGGGCGAAAGCCUGACGGAGCAACGCCGCGUGAGUGAAGAAGGAUUUCGGUUCGUAAAGCUCUGUUGUUAGGGAAGAAUGGAUAUGUAGCAACUAUACAUGUAAGAGACGGUACCUAACCAGAAAGCCACGGCUAACUACGUG